rnacentral:rRNA from 1 species
UACGGGGGGGGCAAGCGUUGUUCGGAAUUACUGGGCGUAAAGGGCUCGUAGGCGGCCAACUAAGUCAGACGUGAAAUCCCUCGGCUUAACCGGGGAACUGCAUCUGAUACUGGAUGGCUUGAGAUUGGGAGAGGGAUGCGGAAUUCCAGGUGUAGCGGUGAAGUGCGUAGAUAUCUGGAGGAACACCGGUGGCGAAGGCGGCAUCCUGGACCAACACUGACGCUGAGGAGCGAAAGCCAGGGGAGCAAACGGG